rnacentral:rRNA from 1 species
UACAGAGGGGGCAAGCGUUGUUCGGAAUUACUGGGCGUAAAGGCGCGUAGGCGGCCAUCUAAGUCGAACGUGAAAUCCCCGGGCUCAACCCGGGAACUGCGUCCGAUACUGGUUGGCUUGAAUCCGGGAGAGGGAUGCGGAAUUCCAGGUGUAGCGGUGAAAUGCGUAGAUAUCUGGAGGAACACCGGUGGCGAAGGCGGCAUCCUGGACCGGCAUUGACGCUGAGGCGCGAAAGCCAGGGGAGCAAAGCGGG